rnacentral:misc_RNA from 1 species
CCGUAGGUGAACCUGCGGAGGGAUCAUUACAAGUGACCCCGGUCUUACCACCGGGAUGUUCAUAACCCUUUGUUGUCCGACUCUGUUGCCUCCGGGGCGACCCUGCCUUCGGGCGGGGGCUCCGGGUGGACACUUCAAACUCUUGCGUAACUUUGCAGUCUAAGUAAACUUAAUUAAUAAAUUAAAACUUUUAACAACGGAUCUCUUGGUUCUG